rnacentral:tRNA from 1 species
GCCUGGGUGGCUCAGUUGGUUAAGCAUCUGACUUCAGCUCAGGUCAUGAUCUCGUGGUCUGUGAGUUCGAGCCCCGCGUCGGGCU